GACAGCAUGUUGUAGUGGUUUGAAUGUUGGACUACAGCUCUGGAGACCAGGGUUCAAUUCCUUGCUCAGCCA
rnacentral:tRNA from 1 species